UAUGAAAUUAACGAACGAAUAUAUCAUCACAAAGGAGUUUUGGGGAUGGGCACAAUCGUAUGUCAAACAUGUGAUGCGACCAUUGCACAUUUUGAAGACGAAAAAGUGACAACGCUUUACGGAAAAUGUUGCAAAUGCAAUAGCGAUGAGACUGCAGAAGAGGAAGAAUAAAGAAACGGUCAAACGGUGGGGGAAGGUUUGCACAUAGCGCGCAUGUGAAAGGGGCACAUGCGCGCCUUUUACUUUUAU
rfam:Geobacillus caldoxylosilyticus NBRC 107762 DNA, contig: GCA01S008.